CAAUGAGCCAAUCCUGCAGCUGCUGCCCACCGAACCACACGAAGAACCUUCAGCUGUCAUUCUGCCGCUCGAUGCUGAUGAGCCGGACAGUGCCUGCCGUGAUGUUCAGUGUGUGUCUGUAGUCUCCUCCCUCUCCCAGUGGACAUAAGCAGAGACAUCAUUGGAAUGAUGAGGGGUCCAGAGAGUCGGCUCUGCUGGUUUGAAAGCGCAGAGACACACUGCUUGACUCGCGAGGGAUUCCCUUAUUAUACCAGUGAUAAGGAGAGUUUCACUGGCAUUCAGCCGCUCGAUGCUGGUGAGCUGAUCAGCGCUUGGUGUAAUAUUCAGUUCCUCUCUGCACAGGCCUCCAUCUCCCAG